rnacentral:rRNA from 1 species
UGGUAGUCCACGCCCUAAACGAUGUCAACUAGUUGUCGGGUCUUCAUUGACUUGGUAACGUAGCUAACGCGUGAAGUCGACCGCCUGGGGAGUACGGUCGCAAGAUUAAAACUCAAAGGAAUUGACGGGGACCCGCACAAGCGGUGGAUGAUGUGGAUUAAUUCGACGCAACGCGGAAAACCUUACCUACCCUUGACAUGUAUGGAAUCCUGCUGAGAGGUGGGAGUGCCCGAAAGGGAGCCAUAACACAGGUGCUGCAUGGCUGUCGUCAGCUCGUGUCGUGAGAUGUUGGGUUAAGUCCCGCAACGAGCGCAACCCUUGUCCCUAGUUGCUACGCAAGAGCACUCUAGGGAGACUGCCGGUGACAAACCGGAGGAAGGUGGGGAUGACGUCAAGUCCUCAUGGCCCUUAUGGGUAGGGCUUCACACGUCAUACAAUGGUCGGAACAGAGGGUCGCCAAACCGCGAGGUGGAGCAGACCCCAGAAAGCGCGUCGUAGUUCGGAUUGCAGUCUGCAACUCGACUGCAUGAAGUCGGAAUCGCUAGUAAUCGCGGAUCAGCAUGCCGCGGUGAUACGUUCCCGGGCUU